rnacentral:rRNA from 1 species
ACUCCUACGGGAGGCAGCAGUGGGGAAUAUUGGACAAUGGGCGGAAGCCUGAUCCAGCAACGCCGCGUGAGGGAUGACGGCCUUCGGGUUGUAAACCUCUUUCAGCAGGGACGAAGCGGAAGUGACGGUACCUGCAGAAGAAGCACCGGCCAACUACGUGCCAGCAGCCGCGGUAAUACGUAGGGUGCGAGCGUUGUCCGGAAUUAUUGGGCGUAAAGGGCUCGUAGGCGGUUUGUCGCGUCGGGAGUGAAAACUCAGGGCUUAACCCUGAGCCUGCUUCCGAUACGGGCAGACUAGAGGUAUGCAGGGGAGAACGGAAUUCCUGGUGUAGCGGUUAAAUGCGCAGAUAUCAGGAGGAACACCGGUGGCGAAGGCGGUUCUCUGGGCAUUACCUGACGCUGAGGAGCGAAAGUGUGGGGAGUGAACAGGAUUAGAUACCCUGGUAG